CUGAAAUCAGUACGAGAGGAACCGCAGUUUCGGAC
rnacentral:sRNA from 1 species